AUUCAAUAAUAUAGUAUAGAUAUUUAAAUCUAAAAACAGCACAUUUUUUUCUAUAAUAAGUAAUUUAUGGAAGUAAGUGUGAAUAAAAAAAUUUCGGGGGAUGUUAUAAUCCACUACCUUCCCACUCUGGAUACACCACUGGAACCUAUGAAUUAUAGUACAAUAAAAUGAUAGUAUAGACCUAACUGUGCUAACUGUUUAAAUCUAAUACGUAGGAUAGUACCGACACAAGAUUUUACUGAGAUCAACCCCCGUCCCUCUCGAAAAAAGGACUAUUAUUAAUAUUAAUCUGGAUAAUCC